rnacentral:rRNA from 1 species
AGAGUUUGAUCCUGGCUCAGGAUGAACGCUGGCGGCGUGCCUAAUACAUGCAAGUCGAGCGAACGGACGAGAAGCUUGCUUCUCUGAUGUUAGCGGCGGACGGGUGAGUAACACGUGGAUAACCUACCUAUAAGACUGGGAUAACUUCGGGAAACCGGAGCUAAUACCGGAUAAUAUUUUGAACCGCAUGGUUCAAAAGUGAAAGACGGUCUUGCUGUCACUUAUAGAUGGAUCCGCGCUGCAUUAGCUAGUUGGUAAGGUAACGGCUUACCAAGGCAACGAUGCAUAGCCGACCUGAGAGGGUGAUCGGCCACACUGGAACUGAGACACGGUCCAGACUCCUACGGGAGGCAGCAGUAGGGAAUCUUCCGCAAUGGGCGAAAGCCUGACGGAGCAACGCCGCGUGAGUGAUGAAGGUCUUCGGAUCGUAAAACUCUGUUAUUAGGGAAGAACAUAUGUGUAAGUAACUGUGCACAUCUUGACGGUACCUAAUCAGAAAGCCACGGCUAACUACGUGCCAGCAGCCGCGGUAAUACGUAGGUGGCAAGCGUUAUCCGGAAUUAUUGGGCGUAAAGCGCGCGUAGGCGGUUUUUUAAGUCUGAUGUGAAAGCCCACGGCUCAACCGUGGAGGGUCAUUGGAAACUGGAAAACUUGAGUGCAGAAGAGGAAAGUGGAAUUCCAUGUGUAGCGGUGAAAUGCGCAGAGAUAUGGAGGAACACCAGUGGCGAAGGCGACUUUCUGGUCUGUAACUGACGCUGAUGUGCGAAAGCGUGGGGAUCAAACAGGAUUAGAUACCCUGGUAGUCCAC